CCUGGCUCAGGAUGAACGCUGGCGGCGUGCUUAACACAUGCAAGUCGACGAAGCGCUACCGACGGAACUUUUCGGAGGGAAGAUGGUAAUGACUGAGUGGCGGACGGGUGAGUAACGCGUGGGUAACCUGCCUCACAGAGGGGGACAACAGCCGGAAACGGCUGCUAAUACCGCAUAACAAGGGAUUGCCGCAUGACGAUCCUUUCAAAGAUUUAUCGCUGUGAGAUGGACCCGCGUCUGAUUAGCUUGUUGGUGGGGUAACGGCCUACCAAGGCGACGAUCAGUAGCCGGCUUGAGAGAGUGAACGGCCACAUUGGGACUGAGACACGGCCCAGACUCCUACGGGAGGCAGCAGUGGGGAAUAUUGCACAAUGGGGGAAACCCUGAUGCAGCGACGCCGCGUGAGUGAAGAAGUAUUUCGGUAUGUAAAGCUCUAUCAGCAGGGAAGAUAAUGACGGUACCUGACUAAGAAGCCUCGGCUAACUACGUG
rnacentral:rRNA from 1 species